CUAUGACUAAACCACAUGGAAUGGGCCCGAUUUCAUCAGAUCUUGAAAGCUUAAGCAGACGUGAGCCUGGAUAGAAUUGGAUGGGUGACCACCUUGCAUAACAGGUUGUUGUACAGG
rnacentral:rRNA from 1 species